UUAAAUUGAAGAGUUUGAUCAUGGCUCAGAUUGAACGCUGGCGGCAGGCCUAACACAUGCAAGUCGAACGGUAACAGGAAACAGCUUGCUGUUUCGCUGACGAGUGGCGGACGGGUGAGUAAUGUCUGGGAAACUGCCUGAUGGAGGGGGAUAACUACUGGAAACGGUAGCUAAUACCGCAUAAUGUCGCAAGACCAAAGAGGGGGACCUUCGGGCCUCUUGCCAUCGGAUGUGCCCAGAU
rnacentral:rRNA from 1 species